CUCCAAUUAUCCAGGUUGUGCCAGAAGCAUGCAACGAAGGUCCCAAUUCGCUGCCAUUUUUCAAAAGCUGAUUCUCGAACCAUGGGCCUGACCUCCAUCAUCGCAUGGGACCCUCGCCUCCAUGCAUAGCUAGGCCUUGGGAGGUUUAAUAUAUAUCCAGGCGAAAAUUUCCCGACCCACGGCAUUUCCCACUUGAAUUGGAACUAGAAAUGCGGUACUACCAGACGCGGUCCUACAUGUACUCUACAUAAUUGCUCGAACAGCAUGAGGAUAUAAUAUUGCCAUGGUUCAACAAGCCCAGUUAAUAUUUCUCAUAUAAAGCUCCGAAGGGACAUUUGAUCCCUAUAUAUCACGUACGGGGGUUGCUGGUGGUUUGUUUACUAACAUACAAACAUGCGAACCGUGCCAUCAUACGACAGACAAAGGAGAAAUAACAACAUCCACGGGUA
rnacentral:sRNA from 1 species